rnacentral:rRNA from 1 species
UACAGAGGUCCCAAGCGUUGUUCGGAUUCACUGGGCGUAAAGGGUGCGUAGGCGGUUUGAUAAGUCUGAUGUGAAAUCCCGCAGCUUAACUGCGGAACUGCAUUGGAAACUAUUUGACUAGAGGAAUGGAGGGGAGACUGGAAUACUUGGUGUAGCAGUGAAAUGCGUAGAUAUCAAGUGGAACACCAGUGGCGAAGGCGGCGCUCUGGGCCGGAACUGACGCUGAGGAGCGAAAGCGUGGGUAGCAAACAGG